AUUUUCAUUUUCUGUGUUUAUAAUAUAUAACAGGAGUUUGUUAGUGUGUUUUCGUUUCAAGGACUUGGAGUCAUAUUGGAACAUAUUACUGCAAGUCAGAACAGAUUCAGAGGAGAUUCAGAUCUUGAUCUUAAUAAGUUGACUGUGUGAUUAUUCAAUCGUGUGAUUACUCAAAUGCUGCCGCUUAUUCUCAGAACUAAUUGUUCACCUACUGCCAGAGCUUGGCUUUAGGUUACCCUUUGGCUAGGUUAGUGAUAAUAUGGUGCAGCUCUGUGCUUAGUCGUUAGUAAGGAACUAUGAUGUAGUCUGUCUAUUUGCCGAUAAUGACAGAGGUAUUAUAUCUUCAUUAUAUCUCCUCCCCCUCUGAUUGCUGUGGAAUACGAGAGGCUAGUGAGGGAGUUAACCAACCUACUGUACCAUUGUGAACAGGUCAACUCAGUUAGGAGCCCAUAUCAAUUAGAAAGGGACUCCAAGGGACAUUGGAAUGGACAAGACAUUCUGGUUUCUGAGACCAAACUCACAGAGACACACACACACACCUACACCUGAGGUAACUAUAGCUGUUGACUCAGCUUGUUUUGAGUUUUUGCGAGGCUCCUCCCCACGCCUCCGUAUGAUUCUUGGAAUCAGCGUGUGAAUGGCUGGGAGGGGUGGGUGUGGCACGCACCACUGUACCUUGACCUAACACCCGCCGCAACGCCCACACACUCGUGAACCUUUAUCUUCACAAGCAACACUGUUACAUACAAGGUAAGGGCAUGGCAAAGUUUGGGAUUUAUAUUGGACUAAUUCAGGUAGGGGCUACUUCCUUCUCCCUGUCCUUCAGAUGAUAGAGGAACACACCUGGAUUGUCCUACUGUGUGUGUGUCUGUCUGCUGUAAUACAAAGGCCUCAUUCUGUCAGUAUGGCUGAUUCACUGUACGAGGGAGGCCAGGGAAGAUUAAAGCCUGCUCGUCUCUCAGGUGACACAACACACAUAUAUAUAUAUAUACAUAUACACAUACACACACACUCUUAUCUCUGCUGGUCAGACUUAGCAUUGUGUUUGUGGGGUGUAAUCAUGGCCAUAGAGCAUGUCUCUCUAAUUGAAAAUCAGCUCCUGUUCUCAUGGCUCUGGAUGUAUGGGGGCUGAGGGGGCUGGAGUUGUCUUUGUGGCCCUCUGGAGUGGCCCAAAUUAAGUCAGGUCAGCUUGGGUCUCCACUUCAGGGUUGGUAGACAAGUCAGGGUCAAUGGCAUGGUUGUUUACGUAUGUGUAAUGUGUACAUGAGUUGAUUUAAGAGAUGUUUGUGUGGGUGUGUUUUGUGUUUGCAUUGGUGGUGUGUGUUUGUGUGUUGUGUGUGUGUUUCCCACAAUGCCAAGUGUGUACAAAGAUAUGAGACGUGGUCAUUCGAGUGGAACCCUCCACUGUUCCUACAUCACCACGGAAACAGGCCUCUCAUUUUGUUAUCACAGACAGACUAAAUUGGGGCUACAUUGGAAUUGCCCCACUUGACCAACAAUCACCCACAGUACUUUGAGGGAUUAUGCUCUUUAAGGAAUAGCUAACACUUGGGAACUGAAAGGUGGGAUUGACAAUAAUCUGUGGAUAAUAUGUGGAUGUUUAAACUUCCUCUUCGCUGUUUGGUUAGUGUCUCUACUGUUUGGUUGUCAACAGCCCUGUGGUGUGCCCAAGCCUGUGGCUAUUCCCAUUUCUCCUGGUAUUCCCAGUCCUCCUGGCUUGGCUGGGCUCCUCUCCAGCUUCCUGUAGUGGAGUGUUUGGCAUCACGCUGUGCCCAGGAACACACACUGCAGCCCUGCCUGUGGGCAUGAAGUGUGUGUGUGGGAGAGAGAGAGGGAGUGUCAGAGGGGGUGGAGUAAAGUUUUUGUUGGUCGCUGAGAAAGACAUACCCUCUGUGUUUGGUAGAGCAGAAGUCAGAGGAGAGAAAGGAGAGGACAGGAGAGGGGCCAGACUCACCCAGGUGGACAGAGGAAAUGGGAGGCUGUGGAGGAUAUGACAAGCUGCCAUCAAGUCAGCAGACUAACAGCUCUACUGUACGCCACAGGGGACAGACCCUUGGUUGGCAGAGCGGUUGCUGAGCUUUGAGAACAACAGUCAGUUCUUCACAGCGCUUCUGUUAAGAGGGGUAGUGUCUGAAGUGUGGAGGAGGAUGUCACCCGUCAGCUGUCCUCAUAGCUGGGCUACCAUGGCAACGACAUUUGUCAGAAUGACUUCCGGCAAAAGCAAAGCACUGUCACGAUCACUUUCUGUACUGACAGAUGUCUUUAUACUGAUACUUAUUGUGUUGGUGUUUUGGUUAAGAUGAAUCAUAAAAAUGCUGAGCCACAUGAGUGGACUGUCUGUCUACUUGUCAUCCAUGUCACAACUGCUAAACAGAGUUUCUACUUGUCAUUACGGCCAAAGAGAAAAAAGCAAAGUACCCUCCAAAAUCAUUUGCUACUGCUGCGCGUCCACUGCAUCCCUAUUGUCCGGCAGGGAAAGUCUUCCCCCAGAGGCUGGUUUCACAUGGUGGUUUAGAUUAAUGUUCUCAGUGUCUAGCACCAUUUGAAAUCAGUGUUCUUGGGGACAGGAGAACAGCACUGGACCUCUGGUAGUGUCAAUCAGUCUACUGGAGCCAAUCCUCUCUCUCUCCCCUUUAAAGGAUGACUGAUUUCCUCUGGUGUUUAGAGCCCCUUACAGCCUUCUAGCACCAUUUGAAAUCGGUUAUAAUGACUGGGGAUCAAUGCCUCAAUGUCUUCACGAUGUCUACAUGUCAACUCUACAGUCAAGCAGACAGGAAAUGAAUUGGAUGGAUGUUCAUAUUGUACGUGUCACAGGGUCUGCUCUACAGAUCCUGGAAUCGAAAUGAGUUGGACGGGAGCUCAUUUCCAGUGGGACAGUUUUUAAAGUGUUUAUUGAAUAAAUGUUCAAUUAAACUGAAUUGAUAUCUUA